AUUGAACGCUGGCGGAAGGCCUAACACAUGCAAGUCGAGCGGAGCGGCGGACGGGUGAGUAAUGCCUAGGAAUCUGCCUGGUAGAGGGGGAUAAGGUCCGGAAACGGGCGCUAAUCCCGAAUACAAUCAGAUGAGGCUAGGUGGGAUGAGCUCGUUGGUGGGGUAAAGGCCUACCAGGGCGACGAUCCGUAACUGGUCUGAGAGGAUGAUCAGUCACACGGGAACUGAGACACGGUCCAGACUCCUACGGGAGGCAGCAGUGGGGAAUAUUGGACAAUGGGCGAAAGCCUGAUCCAGCCAUGCCGCGUGUGUGAAGAAGGUCUUCGGAUUGUAAAGCACUUUAAGUUGGGAGGCGUUACCAACAGAAUAAGCACCGGCUAACUUCGUGCCAGCAGCCGCGGUAAUAC
rnacentral:rRNA from 1 species